rnacentral:rRNA from 1 species
AUAAGAGGGGGAUAACAUCCGGAAACGGGUGCUAAUACCGCAUAGUUUUCUUGGAUCGCAUCGAUCGGGAAAGGAAAGACGGCCUUUGUGCUGUCGCUUAUGGAUGGACCCGCGGCGUAUUAGUUAGUUGGUGAGGUAACGGCUCACCAAGACGAUGAUACGUAGCCGACCUGAGAGGGUGAUCGGCCACAUUGGGACUGACGACACGGCCCAAACUCCUACGGGAGGCAGCAGUAGGGAAUCUUCCGCAAUGGACGAAAGUCUGACGGAGCAACGCCGCGUGAGUGAAGAAGGUUCCUUCGGAUCGUAAAACUCUGUUGUCAGAGAAGAACAAGUUGGAGAGUAACUGCUCCAGCCUUGACGGUAUCUGACCAGAAAGCCACGGCUAACUACGUGCCAGCAGCCGC